rnacentral:lncRNA from 10 species
UCUUCGUCCAUGGUAUUUACCUUCAUGUAGAACUUUUAAAAAAUGCAAUAUAGCUUGGUAUUUAUCACUUAAGAAAUACAGAGGUAAGUCUGUCCAAAAACAUAUGUAUUACGAUUUUCCGAAUUUAUUUGUACCCUAGAAUUUCUCUUAGUCCUCUUUUUUAAACAUUUAAACAUUUAUAAUUUUUCUUAGUGCGGUGCCUUCUGGAAACCAUCCACCAUUUGCACACUACCCCAGUGCAGAAGAUUUAGCAAGUAACCAGUUCCUGGAAACGCGAAUGGCAUUUGUGGAACAAGAUAAGACACAACUUAACCUCAUUUUCUUUCAUACUAAUGUCUUUCAUUUGAUAGAUGCCAUUCAUCAUAUUCCUUUUAACAUUGCUCCAUCACUGAACUGCCAGCUAUGUGAAUAAGAGAAUGCUUUCUCUUUCUUUGAGCUGAAAAGGUUGCAUCUUCUAGGCUUGGAGAAACAAUGGGAAUGGGCUUUUCCAUAAGACCAUCUUUACUUACCUUUCAGUGCUGGAUUAUACUGCAAAUCUUACUACCUAAGCAUUAAUUUUUCUUGGUUAUUGCUCCAACAUGCAACAGUGUCAGAGAAGCAAGGCAAGCACUAUUUAAUACCUGUUUACUGAGCAUCAACUAAGCACAACACACACUUUGUUUUGGGAGCUUCAUAAAUGCAUCCCACCUGGAUCCUUCAUCCAGGCUCUCAGAGCUUCCUUUCCUUCCUUGUUCGAUUCAGAAUUCAGUUACAUUAAUGCAGAAGUUUCCAGGACUUCAGGGAUCCUAGGGAGAGGUAUCCAAUGAUGUUUCAGAGACAGAGUAGGCCCUAGAAAAUUUUAUUGUGGGAGAAUGUGUUUGAUAGAUUCUGUUGACUUUAACUUUAUGGAUUUGUACUUUCACUACAUCAGAGAACCAUCAGAAGUACAGGCAAUGGUCUGUAAGAACAAUUUCAAAUAUUUCUUCUAGCAGAUGGCUGAAGGAGAAGAGGAAAUGUAAGCUAUUUACCCUGGAACACUUGACCAGAUUUCAGAAUAUGGGGCAGCAAGCAUUUCAGACAGGCAUUCCUUACAUUAGAAAAAUGUGAAGAGGAGUUGCCAUGUUUAUCAGAAUUUUGCAAUGGGACAAAUUUAAAGCCAGUUGUCUUUCAUCCUGAGUGGUUCUCUCACUCUUCAAAAUACUUGGGUGAUUACAGAGAAGGGCUAUGUCUGUCUGUCUCUCUCUCUCUUUCUUUCUCUCUCUGUCUCUCUCCCACCUCCCCCCCCAUACGUGUGUGAGAGAGAAAAUAAAUUAUAUAUUUCCGUAAGUUAAAUUUAAUGAUCAGAUAUCUCACCUAUAUUCUUACACUUUUCUAUUUUUCACAGAAUAUACAAGCACAGGCAUUUAAAUGUUAGUCACCCAAAACUCCAGAUGCUAAGCAGUGAAAGUUUAUAUUCUGCCAGCAUAUCAGACUCUGUAAUGAGUCUGAUUUGGUUUAAUUCCUUUCUACUGUUUAGUCAUUUGAUGAGCUGCAGAUGGAAAUUUAAGCCAAAGCCAUAACAUUUCAGCUAAUACUUUUUAUGCUGCUGUAAGAAUUUGUUGUCAUGUCAAUUUAAGAGAGUUGAAAUCUUUUUUGAGAAGGCAUUCAAAUCUGCAUUAAGUGCUUUUAUCAACUCUAAUUUGAUAUACAACUCUGACUGCUUCUGCUGUUCUUAAUCAAUUGCAAAGUGCAAAGUAAUUUAGCAGUGGAAGACAGCUUUGCAAUUCCAGGAUUUCUCAGCUAAUGCCAUAAGCACAACAUUAUGGAAAUAUACAAUUAAAUUUACAUUAAAAAUUUUUCCUAUGCUUAAGAAACACGAGGCCAACUUCUUUGAGUUUAGCCUUAAAUAGGUAAAUAUGUAUUUUGGCAGCCAUGAAAAGAAUAGGGUAUUAGAUUAACUAGGGCAAUACUUUGGUAAAAUUCCAUUGGAAUGUUAUGUUUAUGCAGGAGAGAUUUGGCCAAUCAAUAAGAUGGUUUAUUUUGUAAGUCAAAUCAAUAAAAUGUUUGAACUGUAUAAAUACAA